rnacentral:lncRNA from 7 species
UUUUUUUGUGUGCAUUCUAUAGAACCUAUCAGAAGCAAUGUUGCUUCUUUGUGAGCAAAAUGAAUCAAAUCCCGAAAGAGCUGGUGAUGUUUUAAGGCAUACUUCAAAUAGAGCAAAGACAAUGUAGAGCUGUUGCAUCAGAUACCUUGAUGUUUGAAGCAACUCUGCCUGAUUCCUCCUUUGGAAGUGAUCUCACUCAGGAAGUUACUAAAGCAUGACCAGUUACCUGCUGAUACUAAUGUAUCCUGCUCCUUCAAAGAUCUCUGAAGCAAGUGUUAACUGAAUAUUUGAAUUGCAAUGCUCCAGGGCUCCUCCUACCACCUUCCAGGACAUGAAAUGGCUGAAAUGAGAAAACCGUCCAUAGCUGAAUAAUCCAUACCAGUGGAAAGCAGAUCUACAGACAUUGAGUAGCAAUCAAUCACUUACACAUUCCUUGCUGUAUGUUAUCAAAGCAAAAGGAAAGAUACCCAAGAGAAAUCCAUCUGACAUUUCAAAGUAGACAUGGCCAAAGUAUGUUCACAAGUUUCUCAUCAAGUAUUGCGAGACAUGCAUCUGCCCAUCAGAUGAACCAGACUGACUGAGGCAUUUCUAAAGAUACAGAUGUAAUCUGUGGGGAGAUAAAGUCAAGAUUUGUUACAUUUCGGGGAGCACUGAUUAGUGUUCUUUUUCUGUGCUUUUUUUUUUUUUUUUAAUAAACAAGUAUAUGACAGUUUAAGAUCAAAAGAUUUCAUUCUAUUUUCCAAACAUAUUUUUAAAGGUUGACAUAUAGGAUUAAAAUGUAUGUUAGGAUGUGUGUUUUGAAACUGACAGCAUUCAAUUUGAAAGCUGCAUGCAAUAGCUUUUCAUUUAAUAUAUUUAUAAUAUACUUAAAAUCAGAUUUAUGCAACUGCUGUAAAUAUGAUAUUAUUUGCUGUGAAAUUUGUUUUCAUUUCACUUUCCCUACAUUUUUCUAAGUGACCUUAACUCUAACACAAGUUUUCAGAACAUUCUAUGUACGUAUUACUGCAUCUUCUUAAGUUUUGCAUCUUGCUUUUUAACUUAAUGAAAAAAUAUCGUUCUCAAAAUAUUUCAUCUGCUUAACAUUAGCAUUCUUUAUACAUUACUUACUAAUGAAUGUUGUAUAGCCAAAAUAUCUCUACAAGUUUCUUUACUUUCAAGGCCAUUAUAAGAAUUGUUUUUGAAACAACAGUGAACAAACGUUCAAAACAAUUGAAGUUUCUCUUCCAUACAACUAUCUAAAGAGUCAAGUAAUAUCUUGUAGAAUAGUCAGAGAAAAUGUCAGUUAAAAACACUUUAGGUGUGAAAGCUAUACAAUAAGACUAAAUAUAUUUCUGGUUUCC